rnacentral:rRNA from 1 species
UACAGAGGGUGCGAGCGUUAAUCGGAAUUACUGGGCGUAAAGCGUGCGUAGACGGCUAUCUAAGUCGGGUGUGAAAGCCCCGGGCUCAACCUGGGAAUUGCAUUCGAGACUGAAUAGCUAGGGUACGGUAGAGGGAAGCGGAAUUUCCGGUGUAGCGGUGAAAUGCGUAGAUAUCGAGAGGAACACCAGAGGUGAAGACGGGUUGCUGGGCUGACACUGACGCUGAGGCGCGAAAGCCAGGGGAGCAAACGGG